rnacentral:rRNA from 1 species
UACGUAGGGUGCAGGCGUUUAAUCGGAAUUACUGGGCGUAAAGCGUGCGCAGGCGGUUUGCUAAGACAGGUGUGAAAUCCCCGGGCUUUAACCUGGGAACUGCGCUUGUUACUGGCAGGCUUGAGUGUGGCAGAGGGGGGUGGAAUUCCACGUGUAGCAGUGAAAUGCGCAGAUAUCAGGAGGAACACCGGUGGCGAAGGCAGG